rnacentral:tRNA from 1 species
GCCCCGAUGGUGAAAUGGUAAACACCGUCGACUUAAAAUCGACCGCCUUUUGGCUUGCCGGUUCGAGUCCGGCUCGGGGCA